rnacentral:rRNA from 1 species
AUUGAACGCUGGCGGCAUGCCUUACACAUGCAAGUCGAACGGCAGCGCGGACUUCGGUCUGGCGGCGAGUGGCGAACGGGUGAGUAAUACAUCGGAACGUACCCUGUUGUGGGGGAUAACUAGUCGAAAGAUUAGCUAAUACCGCAUACGACCUGAGGGUGAAAGUGGGGGACCGCAAGGCCUCACGCAGCAGGAGCGGCCGAUGUCGGAUUAGCUAGUUGGUGGGGUAAAGGCCCACCAAGGCGACGAUCAGUAGCUAGUCUGAGAGGACGAUCAGCCACACUGGGACUGAGACACGGCCCAGACUCCUACGGGAGGCAGCAGUGGGGAAUUUUGGACAAUGGGGGCAACCCUGAUCCAGCAAUGCCGCGUGUGUGAAGAAGGCCUUCGGGUUGUAAAGCACUUUUGUCCGGAAAGAAAUCGCGCUGGUUAAUACCUGGCGUGGAUGACGGUACCGGAAGAAUAAGCACCGGCUAACUACGUG